ACUGCUGCCUGUUGGAAGAUAUCAGCUGCCAUCAAAAGAGUCAAAACCCACCAGAAUGAAAGAUGUGGAGCUCACAGUUAAGAGAUCAGAUCAGUUGCUCAGUCAUGUCCGACUCUUUUGCGACCCCAUGAAUCGCAGCACGCCAGGCCUUCCUGUCCAUCACCAACUCCCGGAGUUCACUCAGACUCACGUCCAUCAAGUCGGUGAUGCCAUCCAGCCAUCUCAUCCUCUGUCGUCCCCUUCUCCUCUUGCCCCAAUCCCUCCCAGCAUAGUAGCUAUUAUAUCUCCAGUGUCUAGAACAGAGUCUGACAUACCAAAAAGUGUUUCUAAAUGUCAAAAGCAAGUAUACUGUAUCAGUUCUACAUGGUUAACCUGUUAUUUUUGAUAUUUUAAGUGUAUAUCCUAAU
ensembl:lncRNA